AUUGGACGCUGGCGGCAUGCUUUACACAUGCAAGUCGAACGGCAGCACGGACUUCGGUCUGGUGGCGAGUGGCGAACGGGUGAGUAAUACAUCGGAACGUGCCCAGUUGUGGGGGAUAACUACUCGAAAGAGUAGCUAAUACCGCAUGAGAACUGAGGUUGAACGCAGGGGAUCGUAAGACCUUGCGCAACUGGAGCGGCCGAUGGCAGAUUAGGUAGUUGGGGGGAAAAAAGCUUACCAAGCCGACGAUCUGUAGCUGGUCUGAGAGGACGACCAGCCACACUGGGACUGAGACACGGCCCAGACUCCUACGGGAGGCAGCAGUGGGGAAUUUUGGACAAUGGGCUAAAGCCUGAUCCAGCAAUGCCGCGUGCAGGAUGAAGGCCUUCGGGUUGUAAACUGCUUUUGUACGGAACGAAAAGCUUCGGGUUAAUACCCUGGAGUCAUGACGGUACCGUAAGAAUAAGCACCGGCUAACUACGUGCCAGCCGCCGCCGUAAAAC
rnacentral:rRNA from 1 species